rnacentral:tRNA from 1 species
GUGCGCGUAGCUCAGCUGGAUAGAGCACUAGACUACGGAUCUAGGUGUCGGGAGUUCGAAUCUUCUCGCGCACG